rnacentral:rRNA from 1 species
CAAACCAAAGCUGGCGACCGGCGCACGGGUGAGUAACACGUAUCCAACCUGCCUCAUACUCGGGGAUAGCCUUUCGAAGAAAGAUUAAUAUCCGAUAGCAUAUAUUUCCCGCAUGGGUUUUAUAUUAAAGAAAUUCGGUAUGAGAUGGGGAUGCGUUCCAUUAGUUUGUUGGGGGGUAACGGCCCACCAAGACUACGAUGGAUAGGGGUUCUGAGAGGAAGGUCCCCCACAUUGGAACUGAGACACGGUCCAA